AAGAAAGGCGGCCAUGGUGGAAAGUUUUACUUGGGCCGGCGACGGAAGUUAUUCUUCUAAGAAAGAAGAAGCUGAUGUUGUUGUUGUUAAUGCAAAUGACCCUAAUUUUGAUGAACCGGAAGAGAAUCCGAUUGAUGAAUCUUAGAUUUUGAUUAUGAAUGAUCUGAAUUGUUAAUGUAAAUAUUUGAAGAAUUUGGUAAUGUUUGGUGAUUUUAUGUAGAAAAAAAAACUCUCCUUUUCAGCCAUAUCCAUCCCCUGCCCAAUCCCUUUUUCUUUCUUUUUCACAAUCUAUUUUCAUCUAUUUAGAUGAUCUUGGGCACCUCCUUGAGUCCACUAAUCACUGACGGAGGGAGAGAGCGGCGCUGGUGGUGCUCGCCGGGCACCACUAAUACGCAGUGUAGGGAGAGAGAGAGUGCGGCUGGUCAGUGGAGAUGAGAACGAGGUGGGUGAGGGUGCGAGGAUCUAAUCAUGGCGGCGAAAAUGGUGAUGGUGUGUGGCGGAGAUGAAGGCGAAAAUGGUGAUGGUGUUCGGCUAGAUCUGAUGCGGUAGCUUAGGUUGUUGGUUUGUGAUGUUAGAGGAGGAAAGGAAAAUGGUGAUGAUGUGCGGCGGAGAUGAAGGCGGAAGGAAUAUGAGUGGCUUCGCCGGCAAAAAUGGUGACGACGGCGACAGCCUGGUUCACGUGAACCAAUGGGAAUGGAAGAAAAUGUAAUCGCUUUUACUUUAAAGAAUAUAAUUAAAUUUUUAUUAUUUUACCUUUAAUUAAACAAUUUUGAUUAAUAAUUUUAAAAAUAAUUAUGACAUGGCAUUAAUAUAUCUGAUGUGGAUAUGACAUGUCAUUUAUGUAAAGGAGAGUGAGCUACACACAUGAUUGGAGG
rnacentral:lncRNA from 1 species